UACAGAGGUCUCAAGCGUUUGUUCGGAUUCAUUGGGCGUAAAGGGUGCGUAGGCGGCGCGGUAAGUCGGGUGUGAAAUCUUCGGAGCUUAACUCCGAAACUGCAUUCGAUACUGCCGUGCUUGAGGACUGGAGAGGAGACUGGAAUUUACGGUGUAGCGGUGAAAUGCGUAGAUAUCGUAAGGAAGACCAGUGGCGAAGGCGGGUCUCUGGACAGUUCCUGAUCGCUGAGGCAACGAAGGCCAGGGGAGCAAACAGGG
rnacentral:rRNA from 1 species